GCCCUAGCAUCUGCAUUCCAUGGUUUUGAAUCAUCCUUCCCCUUCACAAUCUUCCUCACAGCUGGCAGCUUUUGUUUUUUAAUCAAAUCAGUAACCUUUUUUCUUAGGUUUUCUUGUUCCUUCAUGACAGCAAGGGAUUCACCUUCUACACCAUUCUUGCUAUCAUUAGCCUUUUCCUUUUUCUUCCUUGUUUUCUCCAAGAUAUUGUGUAUUCUAAUAUGUUUCAUCACAGAAACUGUUACAGAUUCAGUCCUCAGUUCAAAGAAAGAGAACAAGACUGAAGAGUUAGGAGUUCCAAAAAAUGGAUUAAGAAUGGUACACCUAAAUAUCUCUUCAUUGUAUAGUUCUUUUUUUAAGAGAAAACAAGGAAAAGAAAAGAGUAAGCAACUCCCAUAGUCAGAAGAGACAGUAGAGCAAAGUGUCACGCAUGCCUUUAAAGUCUAAACCAAGAGAAAAAAUUAAACAACUUACAAAACAAAGGCACAAACAAGAACACAAAUAAUUGAAAUGAUAAAGAUAAUUGCUGUCCCCAACAGGGAAAUGCAAAAGCAUAAAUCCAUAGUGAAACAAUGUCGAAACAUUAGAUGAGCUCUGACAAAGGAAAGUUGAAUGUCACUCUUAUGAGUCUACCAUGCCCAUGCUUUGAAGAAAUUGUAGCUCAAAAAAGAAAGGUGUAAUAGAAUAUUCAGCCUAACAAGGCCCGUGAUAUGAAAAGUUUAACACUUAAUGAAAAAAUUGUAAAAACUUACUAUCUAAAGGAUCUUACACUACAUUGUUUUUCGUACCUACAUUUAGUGUCCUCCCUGGAACCAUGAACAGCAGAAGAACUUGGACUGAAAGUAAAAACUAUAGAUAUAUAAAAAAGAAAUCCAGAAAAACUCCAUUCAACAUUCGACAAAACUUUACGGAACGUAACUUCAAAAUCUAAUUUUCCAGGCAAUACUAGCUCCAUAGCUGAUUUUUAUCUCAUAAUUGUACAUAGUAACUUUCAUCUUUCUUCCUAGUUCAUCACCUCAGAUGAAGGUUGUCUAAAAGUAAAUUUAAGAAACUUUAUGUUUUCCCUUAUCUUUCAAUAUUUUUAUACGGGCACUCAUUAUCCUCUGUCUACAAAUCAAACCGCAAGUAAAAAUAAGCAAAUAAAACAUUAAAAAUUACUUACCUCCUGCUCAAUUGCAUCACCAAUCAUACAAGCAGCAGUCACAACUCUUGCACAUCCAUGUUCCCCACCUAUCAUUACCAUUGCUGCGAGUUGAUGCAUUGCAAUAACAGACAUCUUGUCAGCUGGCAACAGAUCAAAAUACGGAGCAUAACCCUGCCUACUCUUCCCCGUUCUAAUCAACUCCUGCUCUUUCGCAAUUGCAUCUGUAAAAGGCUCAAACCAACCAAGGAACAAACUCUUCAUAUAUGGCAAAUUAGGAGCCAACUUAUGCUCACACAUAUCCUUCAAAAGCUCCUUAUAUUCUUUCGUUGCCAGUUCCCAUGCUUCCGCCUCAAUCUUCACUUGCCUUCUCCUUAAGACCCUAUGCUUCCUUGACCCUAUUCCAGGGUUAGCAUGUAGCCUCCUCCUCCUAAAGUGCUCCUCUUUCUCCUCUUCUUUCCUCAUUUCUGGCAGCAAUUCAUCCGCACCAGACACAUUAUCUUCAACAUCUGUUGAUGACACUGCCUCAGCUACACUCACAUACCCUCUUGGACAAAAUCCAGCACACCGAUUCCCAUUAGUACGUUCACUAUUUCUCGAAAAAAUAGAACCGGGUUUUCCCAUAAAAUCUUCAUGGGUUGAUAUUUCGCCAAUUGCUCGAAAACUCAGUCGUGGACUUGUGUUAUUAAGCGAAUGCAACUUGAGUUUCUCAAAAAAGAUGGGUUCUUUAGAGGCUCCUAAUUUAAUAUGGAAACAAUCCUUCCAUCCGCAAGCAUGGGAUUAUCCUAAAUUUAAGAAGAAAAUCCAUACAAAGUAAAAUGUGAAUCUAAUUCCCCAAACCAAAACCAUGAGCAAAAACUACUGAAGAUCUUCAAGCUAAAGAAACUUUUGGAGGUGUAGUCGCAGCAGCCGCAGCAGGUGCUGCUGCUGCAGCACCACCUGCUCCUGCUCCUGCCGCUGCAGUUGCACCUGCUCCACCUCCUUCUGCAGUCGCUGCAGUUGUUGCUGCCGCUGCAGGUUCACCUGUUGCUGCCGCUGCAGGUUCACCUGUUGCUGCCGCUGCACAAGCAUCCGUCGUCGCUGCACGAGCAUCCGCCGUCGCUGCAAGAGCACUCGCCGCCGCUGCACGGGCACCCGCUGCACGAGCACCCGCCGCCGCUGCACAAGCGGCGGCUGCCGCUGCAGCUGCUCCUCCUCCUGCUCGACCUGCUCCUCCUCCUGCUCGAGCAGCAGCUGCUGUAGCUCAGGUAUAGUGAAACUGUACAUGGAAUCGAUGUUACAUGGGUGUUAAAAAAAACAAUUAAUAAAAUAAUAUCUAUCCAAAAAUAAAUAAAUAAUAAUAAUUACAGAUGAGGAAUAUUAAUUGAAACAUAAAUUUAAAAAAUAUUUUUAAAAAAAUAAUAAAAAGAAAGAAUUAAUUAUUACCUUUUCGAUACAGAUGAAAUCUCAACUUUAUUGAGAAUAUCCAUCCAUCUUUGUACCUUCUCCUUGUUUUCCCUGAAAUUUUCUUCAUUCUUGUCAAAGACAAUUGUGUAACUCUCUGUUUGAUCAUUUAUCUUUGAUUCUUCGACAUCAUAAGAAACUGGAAACACGGUAUCCGAUCUCAUCUCAUCCAUGAAUCCAAAAAUCUUGACAAGUUCGUUAAAGCACCAAGGUAAAGAAGCACAAUCUCUUGCAAAUAUAAUAAUUGACAACCCUGAUUCUUCAAUGGCCUCAAAGAGUCUUGAUCUAAUUGCCAUUACUUUCUCUUGUUCCUUCCUGACUGGGAUAAUAACUCUCCGAGCUAGAUCUGACUUUAAAUAGGUGAUAACAUUGCUAGUGUCUGCGGCUCUGAUGCCAGGGAAAACACUAGCCAUCCAAUGAUGGUAAGAUGAAGAAAAAGCUAAAGUUGCUUUAUAUGAAGAAGCUGUUUCUAAACUUGUAACAAUAAAAUGGGCAGAUGGUUGCGAUGUACUAUACAGAGAAGAUAACAAACAAACACCACAAUUCUUCACCUUUACUCGUCGCUCGUCGGAAUGAAAUGACAACUCAAUGUUGCUAAAGGAUCCAUGCUUCCAUUCUUUAAGCUCUUUAAGGUAAUCAAAAGAUAGAUAGAAUAGCCACACAUGAUCUGACAGAACUUGGAUAGAAUUACAACUAAUACUUAUCAACGAACGAUAAUUCUCUCUUCCAUUGGCUUUGAAAUGACAAGAAAGAGGACUUUCACCAUUUGCACUGAAUGCAACAUACGCAACAAACCCCAUGCUCCAACUAGGCACUUGCACACUAAUUGAAGAUCCCUUACUUUGAUGGUUAAACCAGCCUGGAAUUGUAUUUCCUGGAACAACGAUACCAAAUCCAGGUCUUGGAUUAGACAAACCCUGUACCAUGAAGAACCAAAAUGUUAGAUAGAUAGAGGGAGAGGGAGAGAGAUACAAAGAGGUUGAGGUAUGAUUAAGAGAAGACCUUGAGGUAUCUUUCAAGCAUGGUCAACCCCAUGUUGUCUUGGCCAUUAUGCUCGUACAAUUCCCAGCAGUUAAGACAUAUGAACUCUGAUGUUUCGAAACUGCUUAGCUUUAUCGGAUCUGGAAUUUCUUUUAGGCGUAUACAACCAUUCAAAUUUAAUGUUUGAACUUUUGAUGGAACCUCAGGCAAUGAUUCAAGCAUCCUACAAUCCUCCAAGACAAGCAUUUCGAGUCCAGAAAGCUGAUUUAUGCUUUUAGGCAGGCUAAUAAAGUUAUUCUGGCUCAGAUUUAAAGACUUCAAUGAAGAUAAGCAGCCAAUAUCUUCAGGAAGUGCCCCUUCUCUUAGAUUGCAAGCGCAUAAAUCCAAUACUUCUAAAGAACACAGACCCAACAAAGAAGGCAACCUGUGAUCCGUGGGAUUCAUAGUUAUUCUUUUGCAUCCAUCAAAAGAUAAUACUUUAAGAUUCUUUAAAAGAAAAAUGGAUGCUGGCAGUUGUCUUAUUGAAGUUCCACUUCCAUCAAACUCCUCCAAACUUUCAACUUUCCCCAAAUUCUCUGGUAUAUAUUUAAGUUUAGAGCAACCAGACAGAUCAAGUUUUUUAAGGGAUUUCAAACAACCUAUGCUACUUGGAAUGCUUUCAAGGUUCUUGCAGUUGUUCAUGCUCAAUACAUCUAAGCCAAUCAAAUGACGAAUUGAUGAAAAUAGUUCAACAAUACCAGUCUCGUCCAAACGAAGCACCAUCAAACAGUUCAUGUUUCCUACUAUAUCUGGAAACUUCUCAAGUUUUGAGCAGCCAUCAAGAAUGAAAACUUUAAGCGAUUCCAUUUCAAGAUUGUUUGGGAGAAUCCUAAUACUUUGCAGCACAAGAUUCACAUAUUGAAGCUUCUUGUGAUGUGCAAGUGAUGGAUGGACCUCAGACAAACUUGUACAACCUUCAAGAAUAGUUCUCGAGAUUCGGAAUUCCAGUAAAAUCUGGAGUCUUGAUCAGGUUUAGUGAGUUGCUGAGAUUGAUGAUUUUCAAAUUAACUGCACUCUGCAAUCAGUCAGGGAGAAGAAAUAUGGAUCUACUAUCAUACAUAUAUAGGAAAACGAUAAAAAAAAUACAAAGGUCCUUAAAUUAGGUGAUCUCACCUUACACCCAUACCAUAAUUGCUCAAUACUAUUGUUAGCCAUGUGAAGUUCAACUAGCUCAUCCACCUGUAAACCAGCUGGCAAUGAUUUUGAAGGGUAAGAAUGCCAUUCAAGAAAUCGUAGCUUAUUGGAAAGAUCUUCAGGUCCUUCAGAAAGCUGCACGUUGUUGAUUUUGAGCAAUCUUAGUUUGCUCAUUUUAGAGAAGGCUUCCAUGUUCCAUUGUGAUUCUUUUAUUUCAGGCAUGUCUAGGAAAAUGGCUUCUAUUUUUUCUUUUCCCUGUCAACCAAAAGGGGAAUACAAGUAAAAAACAAAUACAAAGUAGAGAUGGAGCGUAAAUUAAAAUAAACUUCAUGAAAUCUUAUCAGCUACUCACUGUGUUGUCCAUCAGUGCAAGGCAGACAUCCUCGUAUGUCCACAAUCUACUACGCCUUCCAGGCUCUUCAGAGGAUUCACAACGAACAAUUUCCUUGCCCAUUAUCUGUAAUAAAUUAUGCAUCCAGAUUUGAUCCCGAGAGACACUUAUGAGUGAUUUCUCAAUAAGAACUUGUGUUCCAAUAUGUGCAUGGAAUCCACAGCUGUCAAGUAUCCUUAUUAUUCGAUCUUUUUUAAAUCCCUUAAGGAAACAAGCAAUGUCUAAAAAUAUUUUCUUCUCUAAUUCAUGGAGGCCAUCAAAACUAAUGCGAAGCACAUCAAUAAUUUCACGGUCAGGAAUAUAAUUUAGUCUAUUAAUGGCACUUCCCCAUUCAAGGAUACUUCUUCCAUGCAUAAACGAACCUAUAACUUCAAGAGCCAGUGGAAGGCCAUUAGCAUAGCCCACAACUUGCUUGGAUAGUUCCACGAAAUCUUCAACAGGUUGGUCAUUUUUGAAAGCUUUCUGGCUAAACAACGUAAGAGCAUCAUCAUCAUUCAAUUUCUCAGCCUCAUAUAUUCUAGCAACACCAUUUCUAGUCAACACUUGUUUAUCUCUGCUUGUUAUGAUAAUUCUGCUCCAUGGACCAAACCAUUUACUCUCCGCAGCCAGGGAUUCUAGUUGUUUAUGGUCAUCUACAUCAUCAAGAACAACAAGAAUCUUUCUACAUUGUAACCUCCGCUUUAUCAUUUCAAUUCCUCUAGAAGAAUCACAUAUAUUAGCGCGUUCCAUUAAGAUUUCAGAAAGAAGUUGUUCCUGCAAACGACGUGGUCCAUCUUUCUCAGAAAAAACUUCUCUGACAUUUGCUAAGAAGCAGCUGCCUUUAAAUUGCCAACGAAAGCUAUCAUAUACUACCCUUGCAACAGUCGUCUUACCUAUGCCACCCAUCCCACAAAUCCCUAUGAAGAUUGCUUCGCUAACUUCUUCACCUAUAAAACCAUUUAAUAUCUCUAGACGAGAAUCUAUUCCCACUAAUGUUUUGCUAACUGGCAUAGUGACGCUUAGUUUGUAGGAUAUGUAUUCAACAAUUAUAUUAAUUGAUUCCGAUUCUUUCCUGCAUAGGAGGGUGCAAAACAUUAAUCAUGUUGUGUGCAAAUCAAAUCAGAUAGUGAUAAUGGGAAAAUAAAGAUAUAGCUCAAAAAUGUAUGGCUGCUAGCCGGAAAUUAAUACAUCAAUCUUUGAGAAAGAUAAGGCUUUGACAAUAGAUAGCUUUAAUAACAAAGAGAAAAGGAAAGAAUAAACUAAAAAAGGAACUAAGAUUGUAUUAAUGCUAAGAAUGGUCCGUACAAUAUCUAUGUUAUUGCCUAUAGAAUCACACAGUUACUAAAGAAGCAUGCAUAUAAGAACAAAAACUCUUCAUUAAGUUUGGCUUUGACAGACCAAAAGGAAAAUGGAGUUCUUCUAUCAUAUUUUUUUAUCAACCACUAAGUUAUUUUUAUAAUUAUUUUUAACAAAAAUUUCAAUUAUCUUGCAUAGUAAACUUUUAAAAAACAACUUUAAAUUUAUUAAUUUUCGAGGUUUUUCCUAUAUGCUACCCAAAAAAUAUUUCUUAGACUAACAUAGUUUAAGUGGAUGCCCAAAUCCAAUCCACGCACCUUGAGAUGCACAAAUAUCACACAUGUUAAUAUUAUUCUUUUUUGCAAAUUAAUGGAUGAAAUAAUCGUAAUAAUAGAACUAAAGUUAACUAAAUAUACAAAUUGAGAAACCAGAUGAAUAAAUGGGCCAAUAAAAAAAAGAAAGGUAGAUUUUUUUGACAUGUAAGACCUGCAUGUCUCAAGUUGCAUAAGUGAGAUCUUUAUGGGUCUAUUUGCGAUUAUGAUAGGAAUUAUGAUUCAAAGUGUUUUUUGUUUAGAAAUACAUCAAAAUAAUAUUUUUUUAUUAUUUUAAAAAAAAUUAUUUUUGAUAUCAACAUAUCAAAACGAUCUGAAAAUAUAUAUAAAAAUAAUUUAAAAAAACACGGCAAACCACGUUCCCAAACGGACUCUACAACUCGUGAAACAAUGCUAGUUUGGAAAGUUUUUUUACCCACCUAUACUAGUUUGAAAUUGUUUUUACAUUAAUUUUAUGUUUUUUUAACAAAAAGGCACCUAUCAAAAUUUAAUUCCAAAUUAAAAAGAAAAACAUAAAAAUAAAAAUAUUCACAAUAUAUAUAUAUAUAUAUAUAUAUAUAUAUAUAUCUUUUAUUUAUAAAUAGUUGGAAUUUUUUAAUUAAUUCAUGAUGGAAAAUAUUUUUAUUUUAUUUUGAAAAGUUAAAACCAAUAUAUUCAAAAACUUUGGUCAAUUUUUUAUUUCUUAUGAUGAUUUGUUGUCAUUUCUUCACAAUUUUUUAUUUUUUAAGCUAACUUUUUAUUUGUUCAUGCUAGAUUUGUUUUUCAACAUUUUUAUACAUUUUAAUUUUUCUGUUUAAUAUUUAUUUUAUUUUCAAAAUAUAAAGAAAAACCUAAGAAUAGAAAGAAGUUUUAUAUAAAGAUUAGAAAUGCUUGAUCGCAUCAGUUCAAAAUAUCAUAAAAAAAAAAAAAAAAAAAAAACAUGCAUAUGAAAAAAAUACACAUUUACUAUCAUGCUUGUUCAUCAAUGAAAAAAAUACACGUUUCCGCUCGGUUACCUCUGAGGGAUCCACAUCAUAAAACUCUGAGGGAUCCACAUCAUAAAAAACUGGCAGAACAGUUUGGCCCAUCUCUUUCAUGCACUGAACAAUCUUGACAAGUUCAUCCAAGCACCAUGGUGAAGAUGCGUAAUCUCCUGAAAAUAUAAUGACUGAAAACCUUGAUUCUUCAAUGGCCUUCCAGAGAGCAGGUUCGAUGGGCUUUCCUCUCUCGAGCUCCCUAUCAUCCAUGUACACAUCGAUGCCUCUCUGUUUCAGAUUAGAAUAUAGAUGACUAGUAAAGUUGUUCCGGGUGUCUUUGCCUCUAAAACUAAGGAACACAUCAUACAUAUACAGUGGAGGAGGAUAAGAUGAAGAUGAAGAUGAAGAUGAGGUUAUUCCUUGCACGCUGGUGGAAGCCAUGAAAAUCCCUAUAGCGAUAAACUAGUACCGUGUGUAAGGCCUGCUCCUGUGGUCAAACAUGAAACAGAAGGUAAGAUCAAGAAAUUUGGCAAUUAAAUCUACCAAUUAGUAAUUUCAAGCUGGAACAUAUCAGAAAACACCAAAUUUCUACGAGUAAUUCACGAAUCUAGACGAAACAAACCGUGUGGUAAGUGUUGGCUAAAGAGGCACAAGAUCUAGCCAAGCCCAAUGACGUCGAAUUUUUUUCCGGUUCCUUGAGGUCAAGAACUCGUACUGGUAAGUUUACACUGUAAAGAAGAUGGAGUUUCGGUGGAGAAAAAGCAAAAAGAGAAAUGAAAGGGAUAUCGAACGCGCAUUGGGCAGCAGAGGCACCUUCCUGUCAAAAGCAGGGGUUAGGCCACAUACAUCACAAUUGAGUUGAUUCAUAUUUUUUAAUGAAUUCUCAAGUCAAGCAUUCCAAGAACUUUUGUCAGGAUCUGCCACACACAUCACAAUGGAGUUUAAAAUACAUAUUCUUUAACUACUUUUGUCUCUUUUCCAGCGCAUAAAGCUUUUGCAUUCCGACAACUUUCCAACAAAAUUUUUAAAACUGACCUUGAAAUUAAACAAGAAAAAAACACCAUAAAGCAAAAGUUCUAAGGUGAAUCACAACAAUCGUGCGAAGAUUCAUAUACUGCUUGGAGUUGUUACAAUGGUUAAAAGUUAUUUAAAAAAGCUAAUUAUAUUUUAAUAUAUUUUAUAUUAAAUUAAUUUUAAUAUAAUUAUAUAAUUAUUUUUUAUAUAAUAUAAUCAUGUUAUACAAUUAAUAUAAAUAAUAUGAAAGUUAAAAGAAACAAUUUUUAGUUUUCUAUUAUAUUAUUAAAAAAUUUAGGCUUUGAGGUUUGCAGGCUUUUCUCCUUCUUGUUCUGUUUUUAAAGAGAAAAACAAAAGCCUAUUGUAGAUAAAGAAACAUUUUUUAAUCGAUUAAUUUAGUUUUUUACUUGAUAUAAUUUUUCCAAUGAACUUUUUUUUUUAUUUAAUUGAUUUUUUAGUUUUCUUGAGUAUCAAUAAUGCUUAAUAUACUGAAAAUCAGGAAACCAAAUACCUUGAUAAAGUCUGCAAAAAAGCAAAGGGAUGAUUUGAUAUUAUCAGUAAGGAUAAUCAUUCUAAAAUUGUUGCUUUUUCUUCUUUUUAGAUAUUCAAACAUAUAAAGAUUUUAUCCGGUUGCUUUAGGUCAAGAACUCGUACUGGUAAGUUUCCUGGAUUUUCCUAUGGAUCUUUUUCUUACACUGUAAAGAAGAUGAGUUUCGGUGGAGAAAAAGCAAAAAGAGAAAUGAAAGGGAUAGCGAACGCGCACUGGGCAGCAGUCAGCAGAGGCACCUUCCUGUCAAGAGCAGGGGUUGGCCCCACACAUCACAGUUGAGGUUUGCAGGCUUCUUUCUUCUUCUUGUUCUGUUUUUAAAGAGAAAAACAAAUGCCAACUGUAUAUAUACUUUCUCCUUGCAUUUGGUUUUUUUCUACAUAGAGAUGUAAAAAUAGUAUUUUAGUAGAAAAAAAUAGUAUUUUAGCUAUUCAAAUAGCUAUGCUCCAAUGACUUUAAAUUAUAAUUUGGAUGACAAAAUUUAACAAUGAAAGGCAUAAUAAAAUAUAAUCUAUAAUAAAUAUCAUAUUGAUAGCUUUGUUUUAAAUAUUUAUAUAAUUUUUUGGUCUAGUAGGAUCGAAAUGACCCUUCCAAUGUAUAAAUUAUAGUUGUUUAAAACAAUACAUUUAGUCCAAAAGUUAGAAAAUAGCUUUGUUUUAAAUAUUUAUAUUAUUUUUUUCACAUAAAAUAUAUUAAUUAACAAAAGCUAAAAUAUAUAGUGAAAUCACUGUAACUGGUAAAACACUGGAGGUUUUAUCUUUGGUUUGUUGGAAAGUAAAGUUGUUUUUUAGAGCUGUUUUGGUCCUUUGAUUUAUUUGUUCAAUUCACAUACGCACUUUGAUUUACAGUUGGUUAGAAAAAAAUAAAUUGUUCAUCUCUAUGGUUUUGGGAUUCUCAAUGAAUUGAUAAUGAGGUCAACGACAGUGACUGUAUACCUUCAUUCGACUUCAUUUUUAUCAGGUAACAGUAAUCUUUUUGUUUUCACCUAUAUGAUAUUUUAGUUUAAAAUCUAUUUAGGGUACUAAAUACUAAUAUGAACAAGCUGCUAUAAUGUUUUUAGUUUAAGAAAAAAAAAAAGCUUUAAAAACUUUAUUUUAACCAUGAUUUUUUAUUUUCAAAAUUUUUUUCAUUUAAAAAUACAUUAAAAUAAUAUUCUGAAGAUCAACAAACCAAAACAAUUUUAAAAUAUAAAAAAUAAUUUAUAUUUUUUUAAAAAUAAAAAAAUAAAAAACAUAGUUUUAACUGUAUUUCUAAAUGAUCUUUUCAAAUAAUAGCAACUUUUUAUUAUCCAAAAAAAGAAGUUUGAAUUAUCCAGAAAACCAUGACCAGAUCUGGAGAAGGGUUCCUUCACUCUAGAAGAUGAGUGGCCUUUGUUAAUUUUGUAGUCAAGUGAAAACAAACUAUAUUAGAUUCUUAGAACCCUUUCUUGAUCAAUUGGUUAAUUUCUGUUAGCCAAUGCUAUACUGUGGGCAUGAUUCCUAUUUUCUGUUAGCCAAUGCCAUUUUCAAUCAUUUUCAGCAAAAAAAAAAACCAACGAACAACGUACUAAAUGAUGCAAUCAAUGACAAAAAGUAUGAGGAUAAAGAAAGGAAUCACUAUUAAUAAUUUUGUUAGACUAUUAUGAAUGAAAGGACACUUUAAUGUAUGAAAUGCUAGCUAUAAUUAUUUCCACGAAAUGUAUGUUUCUAAAACUCAAUAUUUAUAUUUUUCAAAUCACUUCACGUACGUCUGCUACAAAGAACAUUCAUCACAUUAAAUUAAUACGACUUAAACAACUGCUACUUGGCCAAGCUGUUGGGUCACGACUUAAACAACGAAGACCAAGCUGUUGGUCUCUACUCUCUACUUCGCACGUCCUCGGGAAGCAUAUCCUUAGAAUGGAGAGCUGGCCACACGAGACAGUUGCUACCUGGCCAAGCUGUUAGGUCACGACUAAAACAACGAAGACCAAACAAUUGUUAUUAGUAUGGUGCUAUCCUUUGUCACAAAUUGUUAAUUAUAUAAUGCCUACCAUUUCUUAAUUAUAAAUUGUCAGUAAAACACAUAUCAUAACAACACCUACCUAGCUAUCUUAUAAAUUAAUAGAACACCGUAUACAUAAACAACUCAUUUUACAUGUUAUCUAUGCAUAAUAUAUCUGUUGUUGCACUCUUUCCGAGCUAAUUUCAUGUGACAUGAGAUAUACAUAAAUAUUUAAGAUUACUAAGUAACAAACACACAAAUAACAAUUCUUUUAAGUUCUUCUUCUCAUUGUUAUACAUUAUUUUUCUCAUGUGUGUUUGUUAACAUAGUCAUCACAGAGUUCCCUGUUCCAUGAAAAACUUGUUUUUGUAGGAGUUCAUGAACCACAAGCCUAACCCAAUUAGAAAAUUUCAAAAUUCAUUACCUAGGUUUAAUUUGAUGAAUUUUCAACUUCGUCAAUAACGCCUUCUGUUGGAACUAGAAGAAAAGCUAGUUUAGUCCCUUUUCUUUUCUAGUUCUUUCCAUUGAUGAUAACUUAGAAAUGACAGGACAAGGGAGAGGUAACGAUCUCCCCACUACAGGAGCACCAUCUCCUUCAACAAAUCCCUCAUUGCAUGAAAUUGCUCAGUAAAGUUAUUUUAGCCACAUAAGAAUUGAUCAGUAAGGGAAAAUAUGCAUGUUUUUUUUUUCUGUUUUAGUUUAGUUUAGUUUAGUUAUUUCUUUUUAAUGUGAAUUGAUCACAGUGUUAAUUUUAUGCUUUUAUGAGUUUAAUCUUCUAUUUAAUUUCUAAAAUGAUCAAUUACAUUUGAGGGAAAAGAAUUAAUCACUGGUAGGCCUUAAUCUUAUUUAUUCUUUUAUUUUUUAGUCCUUUUAAAUUAUUAAUCCAUUUCUUAUUUUUAUGAAUUUUUUUUUUAACAUAGAAGAGAAUAUCUCAAAAUUAAUAACCAAAAUUAUAGCAUCAAUGAGGAAAGGGCUAACGAUAUGGGAUGGAUUAAUAGAAGAAUGGUUGGAUUAAUAAAUCUCAAAGAUAGAGGCCUUAUUAAAACAAAAUCAAUAACAUAAGAACUUUAAGCUCAUUAACCCCCGUAUUACUAAAUAACGAAAGGAAAUCCCAGCCAUUUUUUAUGUAAAAAUUGAACUCUCGUAAUUGAGGCCGCUAUUUUAUUAUGUAAAAACUCACACGGAGGAAAAGAACCAACCAUCAGCGGCAUCACCCUCUUUGGGAUCUUGAUUUUCAUCGGAUUAGCACCCAGCACAUCAAGUUGGCUCGACAGGACUGCCAAGGUACUGUGAUUCUGAAUAAUUAUUUUGCUAUGCAUCAAAUAAUUGCGGCUGCAGCUGAUAAUCCACCAUAUAUUGGGUCGCAUGUGGGAUAUUUUUGUUUAUUAAUUAAUAAAAAAUAAUAAUUAUAGAGGUUUAUUAAUUAAUAAAAAAAAUACCUUCCCAAAUUCAUAUUCUAUUUAAAAGCAUGCAACAUCACAUGGGUUCUGCAGAAAUUAAUCGUGGCAGGUAACACCAAAUGGCUUCACGUGGGUUCUACAACAAUAACUCAUAGCAGGCAACAUUACAUGGGUUCACAUGGGAUCUGCAGCAAUAACUCAUGGUUUCUCAGCAUAGACAUUUUGACUUUUUCCACGCCUAUAAAAAAGGACUCCAAAUUUUUCAGAGGACAAACUAUCUUUUUCCCCAAGAAAAUUUUACUCUCUAAAAACUCAUAUUUGUAACCCAUACUCAUUCACCACUGUAACCAAUAUCUCCUGUAUUGUUCUAUAUUAUAAAUUUAAGUAAGAUUUUAGUAAUUAUAAUAUUAUUAUAAUUUAUAUUGCUGUUAUAUUUUCUGUUUUAUACAAAUAUAUUAUCUGUUUGAUCAAGGAUCCUGAUAUUACUGGUCUUGCCUUGAUCAUUCACAUCAGAAAUUUGUAUGUUUUUAUAAGUAUCCAUUUUCUUGUUACUUUAACAAAAAUCAGUAUAUAUGUUGGAAACCUGUGACUCGAUUUUUCAGAUAAUUUUCAGGUAUAACAACGAUACGUACUGAGUUUUAUUUCUUUAUUUCUUUUUUUGUGUUUAUCUGCUAUAUAUUAUUUCAAGUUGGAUGAAAACAAGCAAUAAACAAGGAAGUAAUUGGACCAACAUAAUCAUUGAAAGUAAUUCAUACAAUUCGUUGAAUAAAAAGCUAACCCUCCACAAUUCGCAGUACUCAUUCACAGUAGUAAUCACCCAUAAUCAAAAUAAGAAAAAUAAGUCCCACCAAUUUUAUAGCUCCUACAUAUUUUUUUAUUAAAAGAUUGAUCUUAAGAAAAUUAUAUAAUUAACUGAGAUUAAAAAAAAACAUUAAAUUAAAUCCAAAAACCAUUCCUCGCCACUACAACCUUAAUUUUCACAGCUCCAUCCUGGUAACAAAAUAUAAAAUGUUUUUUUUUAAGAAAAAAUAAUUAUAAAAAAUUUAAUUAAAUCCCAAACACAAUUUCAACCAUCAAUACAAACAUGAUGGAUUCCUCUAUCAUCAACCAUUUUUUUUAUAAAAUCUCAAAUAGUAAAUAAAAAAAUUCAAAACAACAUAAAAAAUGGAUUCUUUUUAAAUAUUAUCCAAAAACAAGAGAAUUUGGGUUAGUGAGUUGUGAGGGGUUAAUGAGUUUGAGGGAUCGUAUACUAUUGAUUUUGUCUUUGAAAGUUUUUGAGUCCAAUCAUUAUACUAUUAUUUGUCCAUGCCUUUGAUCUCUCCGUGGCUAACAAUGUUAUUUGCCCAAUAACUUUAAAAUAUUCUUUGGAAUAUACUUUCAUACUUAAAAAAAUAAUAAAAAAGAAAGAAUUGAUUAAGAGCUAAAAAAGGCUUUAAACAACAAAUAAAAAAGAUAAAACCAAAAACAUAAAAUUGAAACCAACAAGUCCAACCAAUUUUUUCUUUCCUUCAUUUAUAAUUACAUGUUUAUUAAUUAAAAAACAUGCAACAAAAAUUUAAUUAUGAGAUCGAGUAAAAUAAAAAAUAAAAAACACGGUAUACAUAAUUAUAUAUACAUAAAAGUCCUCGGCACUGCAACGACUACAUCAGCGGCAUCACCCUCUUUGGGAUCUUGAUUUUCAUCGGAUUAGCACACAACACAUCAAGUUGGCUGGAAAGGAGUGCCGAGGUGUGAUUCUGAAUAAUUAAUUUGCUAUGCAUCAAAUAAUUGUGGCUGCAGCUGAUAAUCCACCUGGUUUGACAUCAAAUGAUAAUUCACAUCGUUUUUUUGAAGGAUUGUGCUGCAAGUGGUAGCCGACUUGGUUGACCGAAUAGGCUGUGGACCAAGGAGAUCAAUUUCCAGGAAAUCCAUUUCAUUUGAUUGUGGUUCCUCCAGGCCACGGAUAUCUGCUGUGGAGUGUGGACGAAGGAGAUCAAUUUCCAGGAAAUCCAUUUCAUUUAAUUGGGGUUCCUGUUCAUAGACAGGGGGUGAAAGCGAAUGCAACCAUGUGCCUGAUGUGAUUGUAAUUUUGUUUUUAUUAUUAACAUGAGUAUUAGAGCAAUUUCUAUAUAUCAUGAUUAAUUAUACAGGCUUUAAAAUUAAUAAUUAUAUAAAUUAUUAAUAGCUGUAAAGUUUAUUUGAGAUAGCUAAUUGAAGUUAAAGGCAAGAUAAUUAUUAAGAGUGUUUAUUGUCCUAUUCAUUUCAUAAAAACAUAAUCUGAAAUAAACUAAAAAUCAAUUCAACCAGCUUUAAUUAGAUUCAUUUGAAAUCAAGAAACCAAACAGCUUGAUAAGACCUGCAAAAAGCUAAGGGAUAAUUUGAUAUUAAGGAUAAUCUAAUUAAAGGAAGUUUACUUUUCAAAAAAAAAAUGAGAUGAAACAAUUACAAACAUGUAGUAUAAUUUCAAUUCACAAAAGAAAAAAAAAAGGGUCAUCUCAGUGGAACAACAUAAAAAAGCAAAAGAAAGUUUUUUCAAAAGUGAAUGAAUGAUCAAUGUUUUUUAUUUUUUUCAAAAGCUUCUAUAUAAUAAUAAAUAAUAACAGGAAUAUAAAAAUAAUGACUAGUCCCUGACUUGAUGUAGUUCAAUCCGUUUUAGAAUUUUAAAACUGAAAUUAAAUCGAAUCGAAGUUUUUUUUUUUAAAAUUAGUUUUUUAAGUUUUUUUUCACACAAAAUAACGAAAAAGGUCUGCUCAGUGGGACAACAUAAAAAAGGAAACGAAAAAUUUGGUCAAAAGUGCAUAAAUGAAUUGACACAAACAUGGGUAAAUUCAGGGGUUUUGUGUUGUGCCGGUGGUGGAAACAGUUUUUGUUGCUUGUAAAUAUGCUCAAGACUUGUAUAGAGCAUCACUUUCGAGUUGUGUACGGUGAUCUUUGUGAUAUCUAUCCAUUAAUAUAUAGUAUUUAAUUUUCGAGAUGAUAUAUUAUUUUAAAUAAAAUAUGUAAUAAUUAAAAGAAUAAGAAUCAAAUUUGAUAAAUAAAAAAUUUUAAUUAAAAAAUAAUAAGAGAAAAGUAAAUAACAAUCAUAAAAAUAAAAAUAAAAAUUAAUAUAAAAAUCAAAUUAAAUCAAAUUUGAAGGGAUAAAAUUAAAAAAAAAAAGAUUCAAACAAAAUAUAUAGCAAUCAAAAGUUUGAGGAUCAAAUUUGACAUAAUUAGCAAGUAAUAUGAUAUUUCUAAAUUUUUCACAACUUUUAGAAAGUGUUUUCGGCCUAAAAUAAAAGAAAAAUACUUUCCUGAAAAUCAAGCUAAAUUUUUCGUUGAUCAGAAAGUUUUUUUUAUUGAUCAACUUUUUUAAUAAUAAAUAAACAUAAAAAAAUUUGGAAAAUAAUUUCCCAAAAACACUUUCCAAUAAACACACCCUACAUAAACAACUCAUUUUAGAUGUUAUCUAUGCAUAAUAUAUCUGGUGUUGCACUCUUUCCAAGCUAAUUUCAUGUGAUAUGAGAUAUAUAAAUAUUUAAGAUUAGUAAGUAACAAACAUACACAAAUAACAAUUCAAAAUCACACCCAUGAACAAUCACACAAUACACUCUUUUAAGUUCUUCUUUUCAUUGUUAUACAUUAUUUUAAGCAACAAUCUCUUAUCCAGGGAUUUACUAUAGUCGUAUUUGAUGGGCACAUCGCAGAAGCUUCCAAUAAAUGCAGUUUGGAGUUAUUUUAUUAUUCAUAAUAAUAAAGUGUAACAAGGGGCUCUAUAUUCAGUUAAACAAAUAGAACGCAGAAGGUGAUAAAUGUUAAUAUUUCAUUUCAAAAGCUUCAAUGUAGAUUUUUUUUUUCAAGAGCAUUUGAUGUGCAGCGUUAUAUUUAACCCCCACUCUUAUCACGUUUAAUUAGUAUUUAAAUUAAAUAUAAAUAUAGAAGUUCUUAUGAUUGAUGCUGCUAUCCACUGAGAGAUUACGAUGAAAAGAAAAGAAAUUAAACCUCGUCGUAUUAUAGAAAUACUGGGCACAACUUUUGUUACCCCUAAAUUAUUAUACAAGCUCGACUCACCAUUACCUCAUAUUCAUCCAUGUAGGUUAUGGUGAGCUGGACUCAUCUAAUAUAGUAAUAUUAACAUAAAAUCUUACCAAGUUAAAAUUUGCAAAGGUAUUUUUUUAAAAAAAAUUCUACAUGUUUUUUUUUAUCUUUCAACAUUUCCCUUCUUAAAGAUCGAGCUUCAUAAUUUAUUGAUGUUUUCUUUUUAUAAGAUUAUUUUAGUUUUAUGACCCGUAUUGCGAUUUUAGCCGGUAUUGCGAGUUUCGCAGAUUGACCUAGAUUUUUUUUUUUUUAAUUUCAUCAUUCAAUAUUGGAUUGAUUAUGAAUUAAGCUUCAUGAUUUAAUUCAGUUUAUUUUCUAUUUUUUUCAAAAAUUAUAGUUUAUGAUAACACUUUAUAUCCUCACUAACACAUAUAAAAAAGUCCUACAAAAAUAUCUAAUUAUUAACAAAAUUAUUAUUAUUAUUAUUAAACUAAUAACUAUAAAGUUCUUAUUUUAAAUAUUAUAAAUUUUUCAUUGAAUUAAAAAAAAAAACUUAGUCACCACCCUCUUAACCAAACCAAAAAACAAAAGAAAUCCAUAAAUCAAGUUUAGAAUCUCAAACUUCAAUAUUCCUAUCACAAACAACCAACUUUGAUGUUCCCAUCACAAACACUAAUUCCUCUCCCAUUGCAAUUAUUCCAUCUCAAACCUUUGACUAGGGAGUGUUUAUUUAGUUAAACUCAAUUAUUUCUUGGGUCUAGCCAGCGUUAGAUCCAACACGUGUUGGCUUGACACAUUACCAAUUAAGCUCAAUCAUGGUUAGGUCUAAUUAACGCUAGACCUAUCAAGAUUUGGAUAUGGCGGUGGCUAGACCUAGUCAUUUCUUGGGUCUAGCUAGUGCUAGAUCCACCGCGCCUAGGUCUGGCUAACACCAGACUCAAUAUGUUUGGGCUUGGCGCAUUGCUAUUUAUAAACGAAGCAAGUUCAAUUUUGGUGUAAAUAUUGAUGUAGAUUAUAUAUAUUAAUGUUUAUGUAUUUAUGUGUUUAUAUAGUUGUAAAUAUAAAUAAUAAAAAGUGUUGGCGCAUCUAAGAGAAAAGUAUAGAAGUUUAUUAAUUAAUUAAAAAAAAGUACCUCCCGAAAUUCAUUUUCUAUUUCAAAUCAUGCCUACCAAACCGACAAUUUGUUAGGCUUAUAAAAACAAACUAUUACUAAAUUAAUAUUUUUGAUAGGGUAUGGAUAUUGUGUAUUAAUAUUUACAUGUAUGUUGUGUUUGUUUAGAAUUUUGAAUAUAAAAAUGUUAAAAAUAUAUUUAACUAAAAAGAUAAAAAGAAAAUUAUAGAAUUCAAAACAUAAAUUAUAUUGUGAUAUAUUUUCUGUCUUUUUUUUUAUUGAAUUUAAAAAUAAUGAGUGAACUUGGAGCAAUCCAACCACAAAAAGAAAAUGACAUAGGGGGAGGGUAUGUACGUAGUGGGAGAAGCAACUAAAUAUAGGGGAAGAAAAAAACAUUCAGCUUAUUUACAAAUCAUUUUCAAAAGAAGGAAAAUUGAAAAACUCUAUUUCUGGCCUCUCAGGUAAAGGAACCUGAAUGAAGAAAUUAAACGAGAAAGGUUUUUUAAUUUUCCUGCAGGGAGAGAGAGAGAGAGAGAGAGAGAAACCUGAAGAGAGGAAAUUAGGGAUUAGGGAUUUGGAAGCAUUGGAAAUUUAUAUAAAAAAUAAUUAAAAAAAAAACAUUAUUAAAAGUCUAGCUAAUCAAUCAUAAGUCAUAACUUCAAAAGUGCAACGCAAAAAUUAGAGCAAUUUAAUUAUAGGCUCAAAUUGUACGUAAGAAAUUAAUCAGUUUCGGCUAUUUUAGCUUGUGACCAGCAGUACAUGCUAUACUACUAGCAGCAUCAUAUUAUAGGUUCAAUAUUUUUUGAAGCAUCUGCCUGUCCCAUAAAUCUCAAGAACAUGAACAAAAGCCAUGAACCUGGCUGCCUGCAGACAGGAAUGUUUCUGUAUCUGUUGGUAUUUAGCAAACAUAUCUGUCCAUAUAGACUUUGUUAAGCUCUAGUUUGUAAGUUUAUAUAAAUUGCUGCAAACUUCCUGUUCCCAUUUCCAUUUCCAAAGCCACGAGCUGCUCAACAACAUUGUAAUCAUUUUGCUUUCUCUUGUGAGACUGCUAUUGCUAAAAGAAUUAUCAAUAAAUAUCUUCCGAGAAGUGGUUUACAGAGAUGGACUUUCUUCCUCUUCUUCUGUUUACUCUUUCCCUUUCAUUUUUUCCCUUCCUACCAAGUAGAUAGGUGUUUAACUUGAAGAUUAUGAGGGUUAUUUUACGCCCGAAUCGUGUACAGUAUUUGUGAAGCUUAUUUUCUUAGCGAACUAUAUUGUUUUUCUUUUUGGUUUCUAGCUGUAUGGUUAUGGUGAUUAUGUCGCUUUCCAUGUCAUAGAAUCCGUGGAUAUCUGGGAAAAUCUCAUUCAUUGGGACUUCAAGCAUGCAGUUGUUGACAGCUUCCUUGAUUGUAGAUGAUGGGGAACGUUGUUUAACAAUUUGUUCUCUCUUUCCCAGUUCUCUAGUUCAAAAGAAAUGGAGAUGCCUAUCUUUAUGAUCUCGGCAGCACGCAUGGCACCUUUAUUAACAAGAAUCGGGUCAGCAAAAAUACGCUUUUUAUAUUUAAAUUGUAUGCGUUUCUUAAAAGGUCUGAUGCAAGUGAUUCACUGAUACUGUCGAGGGAACUUGUGAUGUGUGAUCCAUCACAUGUUAUCCAAUAUAAAUGUGGCAAAUAUUUGUUAGUAGUCUGUCAUACAGUUAUGUAAUCUUGCUUGAAUAGCAAGGACGCAUCAAUUGCUGUAAUGUAUCAUGUGUUGUAGGAAGUUGUCCGGAAAAUUCUUAGAGAUGCUAAGAUUCGGCAAGCCUCACUCCAACGAGCAAGGUUGGGAGCAGCUCUUGCUGAUGGUAUCUCAUGGGACAUGGGAGAAGUAGUUGCUAUUGAAGAAGCUGAGGUUAUUGUCAGUCCAUACAUUUUCUGGAUGUAAUCUUGUGAGAAUUAUUGUUUUUGGCUUUUUAUUACUGUCAGCAGAUACGACUUCUCUUUUGUCCACACUUUUCCCUAAGCUGCUCUGCAAUAAAUAUAGAACAAGUGAGAUUACCUUUGUAUGCACUUUUGUGUAAAGAGAAUUGCUUAAAACUAUUAUUUGUUCUGUAUGAAGCAUGCAUGUUGGACAAUAGUAGUGUUCAUUUAUAGUUGUCAACACUCUGCCAGCCUUACCUCCUUGUUUCCUCCUUGUACAGAAAUGAUGCUUUUUUAGAAAUCCAGAAAAAGAAAAAAGAUAAUCAUUGAGAAUUUGUUGUUCAAUCCCACCUAGGAACUUGAAGACCAACUAGUUUACGUACUCGUGUCAAAUUUACCUCCAGGUCUAUUUCAUUUUUUGGAAUUAUCUGGUAUACCAGAACUUCUAUAAAUCCUAAAUUAGACUCUUUUGCAUGAUAAAAAGCCGAUACUCUUCUCUGUUUGUUUAUGUUGUUUUGGAUAACUAGGAUGAUGUUGAUGAAGUAGCAUGGCACACUACAAAGGGCAGCUUACAGAGAAGCAGGAGAAAACCCGUGAUAAAAUAAUAAAAAGGUAAGUGGUUUUACGUUUCAUACUUCGAGUUCCUCAUUUCUAGAUAUUUGAUGUCAAACACAAUGAUGAUUUCGCUAGCCUUGAACACGAGACCAAUCUGCAUCCAGUUUUUCAAUCCCCUUCAGAUUUAUGUUCUAGUGUCAUUUAAAAUGUUCAUCCUGUUACCUAUACUCCAAAUCGAAGGGCUAUUUUUAGUGAUGACUUCUUUCCUUUUCUCUUUCUUCUCACUGUCAUGCCUUGCUUUUUCGCUGGUAUUAGAAGUGUUCAAUCUAAAUGGUUGUAUGGUUUAUUGAUGGAGAAGAAAAAACAUUUCAUCAUCGCUGCAUUAGUCGCUCAUUUCCUGAUUUUCUUGUCAGUGCUGAAUAAACUGUGCAGCUCGGAAAGGAACUAGCCUUUCUACAAUCUGAACUGGGCAGGAUCUUGUUUCUAUUGAAGAUUGCUGAUCCAUCAGGAGAAGCUGAUCAGAAAAGGGAUUCGCGAGUGAAGGAUAAGAAACCUGAUAAAGCAGAGGUGCCUGUUUCUGCCACCAAAAAGCAACCACCCACCCAGGGGACCAAAGAAAAGUAGUGCAUCGGGAAAAUUGACCGAUGUCUCCAGACUAGAUUGUCAUUGAUGUUUUUGGUGUUAAAAUGAAAAUUAUCAGGGUGUUAUAAUUAUAAAAUUUUUACUAUAUUAAAAUAGUAUUUGUAAAUAUUCAUGAUUAAUAUUCUAUUAAAACUGAACACUGAAAAAAAAAAUUAUUCUCAUAAACUGAAAUAUAAGAAAUACUUAGAAUUAAUAUGCAGAUGUUUGUCAAAUGAUAAGUAUAAUGAACUGACUCUUAAGAAAAUUUCAUAUAAAAAUAUCAUUUAUAUUCAUAGAAAGGCUCACGUGAUAAAUAUAUAAGUAAUCAUUAGAUUUGAAAUCACUAAAUUAUCAUAUAUAAAAAUUAUUAUAUUUUGAUCUUGACCACAUGUUAUCAUAAUCAAGGGUAACAAACAAUCAAAUAUUAGACAUAACAAAUAUUUCAAAAAAAAUUUGACAUCACAUUAAUCUUUUCAAGCAGUUACUCUAAAAAGUUACCUAAAACUUAUUUUAUAACUAAAACGUGCAAACACAAUAAACUCUCCUUGAACCUCAUUUAAAAACUUAUUUGAAUUUAUUAUGUUACUCACACUUGCAUCUUCUUCAUAUGGUUUAACUAAAAAGUUUUCAAAAAUUCAACAACUAAACGAGACAAAAUAGAGUCUUUCUUGAUUUUUUUUUCACAAACUCACUUGGACUUAUUGUAUAAAGUCCAUUUUCUUUCACACUAUUUUUUCUUGUUUUUAUGAUCAGGUCUUAGAGGUAAUCCAAUAAGUUAGAUAUUUCUAUUCUUAAAAAUAAAAGAACAUGAAUAUAAUUUACUAGAAAUAGUGAUGGCCAUAUCAUAUAGCCAUGACCUAUUCAAAAUGACAUAUUGUAUAUCUAUUGGAUUCAUAUCACACCAAAUUUUAUAAUGAUAAUCUAAGAAUUUGAUAGAAAAAAAAUAUAUUUCUCUGAUUGCUACUAAGGUGGUGUUAAUCCAUGAUAUGUUAUAUGACUUAUAAUAUGUAAUAGACUUUAAAUCUAAACGAGUUACAAUAUUAGAAAAUACUACAUUAAUACAACUUUUAUUAUCAAUGGUCAUUUUGCGACUUUUAUCCACACACUUGAUAUAGGUUUGAAAAAUAGCAAUCAUUCUCCAAUUUUCAGUUCUCUCGGGUAAUGUCAAGGCACAUUUGACUAUACCUAACCUAGUUGUCACAAACUCUAUAGUAUUAUACUCACGAUUGAUUCUAAAGAUAUCACUCAAGAUUGAGUCUAUAAUAAUUAUAAAUUUACAUGACAUAAAUACAAGCAACACUAGCUUAGCUUGUAGAUCACAAACAUAUCUUUUAAGUAAAAACACAAUACAAAAAUAAAGCUAUUUUUUUUAAAAAAUAUGAAGAUUAAUCAAGAUUAUAAUAUAUAUAAAAAACCUAUGAACAUGCAAUACUAAACCUUUAAAUGUAAAAGGGUCAACCAAACACUUAUCUCAACUUUUUACAAAUUUAGGCAACUUUGAUAAAUAAUAAAAAGGAUUAGUUGCUAAAUAUUAAUGACAAAGUUAGUUGAUAAGUAAAAAUAUAUAGAAUAAAAUGAAAGAUGGGAUUUUUCUCUAUUAAAUUUAUUUAUUUUAUAGGCAUAAAAAUAAUAUUAAUGACAACUUUGAAUAACAAGUACAAAAAUAGAAAAAUAAAAUUCAACUAAUCAAAAGAUUUUGUUAUUUAUCACCACCAUGCUUGACAGGAUCAUGCAAGUUAAGUUGUUAAUAAUGCAGGUAGCAACGCUCACUUAGUGUUGGAUAACUUGUCUGUUGAUGUCAUUAUUUUUUUAAAAAAAUUACUUUAAUUUUUUUACUACAAUUUUUUUAAUUAAGAUAGAAGAAAGAAGUAAAAAAAAUACAAAUAAAAAUAAUAAUUACAAAAUGGAAAUUUGGCAGAAGACUCAUUUAAUUCCAUUCUCUUUCAUGUCUCUCUCAGAGUUUGAUUUCCUGUGUUGUUAUGAUCCUCAUACAAAUGAACAGAGUAUGGCUAUUGCUGGUAUGGAUUGAUUUGUAAUGGUGAAUCUCAAAUGCGGCCAUCUGGUGGUUGUUAGUGUUUUGUUUUCUGUAUGUGGUGGUGGCUAAUGGGUGUUGCUUUGGUGGUUAAGAAGAUGCAUUGGAACUAUGGUGGGUCACAAUGAUCACAAGUCUCUUCAUUCAUUCUUGUUCAAUGCAAGAACCCAGCGAAGCCUAUUCCCAGAACAAAAUAAAUAUGCUUGCUAUACAACAGCAUUCAGAGCUGUGUCAAAACUCACAGACCAAAUGAAGAUCUUCAAUGCUUGACGACUCCUUUCUAGAUACUAUAUACAAUAGAGAGGUUAGUCUCUAGCAGGAAGUUCUUCAUUAGAUCACAGGUUUCCAUAGCCAGGCUUGGCAAGGAACAAAGAAUUAAUGACACCCAUAAAAGAAGGGGGCCACGUUGGUGUAGCAAUGAGAGGAGGAGCCCUUGCACUGAAUCAGUUAAAGAAAUAAGGUGAUUCCAACACUUCCCUCAGCUCAAAGUCUCCCCGGUCAGGCAAGGGCGGAAAAGACAACGUGGGAAAAGACUUUUCAAAGCUCUCCAACAACUGCAUACAAAUCCAACAGUAUAAAUGAUGAGUUCUGCUAAAAAAGAAAAAACCCUCAGACUUGGAUUUGACACUGCACAAUUCUUUUAAAUGCUAAUUCAAGUUGAAAUUUAUAGGCAUUUUGUUUUAUCCCAAAACAUAAUUGAAACAGCAGAUGAGAACAUAUUAUAAGGAAUGCUUUAAUUAACUGCAACAAGUGUUGUUUCUUUAAACAUAUGGUACGUAUCUCUUUUCUUUGUUUUUUUAUUCACAACCAAAACAACCGCAAUCGAAUAAAGCUAGUAAAAAAUAGUUAAUUUCCUCUUAUCCGCUCUGCCAAAUAAACUUCAAAAAUAUUGCAUUGGGUUUUUGCCUCCUGCAAAUAUAUAAUGAUGCCAAUGAAGGGGCCAUUGCCCUUAUAAGUUUUAGAACAAUAUAGCAGUGCUAAUACUUACAUUCUCCAAUAUAGGUGUUUCAUAGAGUUCAACAAAUUUUUCCCUCAGUAUCCUGUUCAUUUCUUCCACAUCACAUGCAUGCGUCCAAUAUGAAUCGUGAACUCCUGUGAUGGUAUGCCAAUAUGCAGUAAUGAGAAAUCAAAACUAGGAAUAGGACAGCAAUUGAGACAAAAUCCAGCUAUGAGUGAGAAACCUGCAAAGUUUAAGCCUGCCCCUUUGCAGGCAACUGCAGUCAUCAUCAUAUGAGAACUAUCAAGGGAAUGAACAAAAUUUGGUGGGAAAGCUGUUCCCCCUUUGUUUUAGUAUUUUGGUCACAGUCCAGACUAAAUAAAGUAAAAGAACUGCCAAACUUUGAGAUCCAAGAGCCAGAAGGUACAACCUUUUCCCCCUUUGUUUUAGUAUUUUGGUCACAGUCCAGACUAAAUAAAGAAAAAAAUCAGGGCAAUUUAGCUAGACAAAAAGCCAAGGCACCCACUGAAGCCUACCAGAAAUCAUGUUCAGAAAAAUUGGUUCAGAAAAUUGGGAAACAGCUAGCAGAAUGUACCAAUGUAUACUAUAUCUGUGAUGUUUUGUAAUAAAAAGGAAUGAGAAAAUACAAUAAAGCCCUUGGAGGCUUAAAGAGAGGGUAAAUGAUUGAAGGGUAUUGUGGUAAUUGACCAAUAGUUGAUAAAUAUAUAUAAGAAAAAAAAAAAAAAGAAUGAUCUGAUUUUGAGAGAAAGAGAGUUACGGGAGAAGAGAAGAAAAGAGGAAGAAGAAGAAAAGAAAGGAGAGAAGGAAAGAAAGGAGAAAAGAAGUAGAGGAAAUAAGUAAAAAGGUAAGAUUUAUGGUUUUAAGUGUAUAAUAUGUUAAAUUUCGGUUUUGAUUAAUUUUGAGAGUUUUGAAGUUUGUAUUUUGAGUUAAUUGAUGAAUUAGUUUGAAUUAAGGGGUUGAUUGAUGUGGAUAUUUGAUUAAUUAGUUGAUUUUGAGAGAUUGAAUUAAAGGAUAAUGAUUUUGAGUUAUGAUUUUGUUUAAAUGGUGAAAUUGUGUUAGAAAUCAGGGGAUAACAGUAGGUGAUCUGUUGAAAUUCUGAGUUUGAGGUUGAAGAUGACGAAAAUUCAGUUUGGUCCCUCAAUUUAUGGAAAUUGCAGUUUAGUCCCCGAACUUUGGAAAUUUUACAGAUUGGUCCCUGGGGCAUAAAUUGAGGUUCUGAACAGAACUGAGGAUGAUUUAAGGACAAAAUUCCAGUAUAAUUAAUAUUUUCAGUUUGGUCCUCCAAUUUGACAAAAAGUAUAAUUUGACCCUAAAAAUUUGGUAAAGUUCCAGAAUGGUCCUUGGAGCAUAAUGAUAUAUCCUGGACAGAAUUGAGGAUUAAUUAUGGACAGAAUUUCAGUAUGGUUAUAUAUUUACAAUUCAGUCCUCAAAUUUUGGUAAAAUUACGUUUUGGUCCCUGUUUUGGAAAAUUGUCGUUUUAGUCCCUAAACUUGGGAGAUUAAGCCCGGUUUAUUUUAUGCUUUGGGAUCUUUUGUUUGAUCUGUUUUUGAGUAUAUUUCAUAUAUUUAUUGUAGGUUCUCCUAACGAUCCUUAAUCGAUUUCCGGGUCUUUUGUCUGACAUUCCUUUUAGUUCUAUAUUGUCCGGGUGAGUGAAUAAUCUUUAAUAUGCAUAUAAUAUAAAUAAAUAUGUAUGUUGAUUAUACAAUGAGUACGACUAGUAAGUUUCUUGAAUAUUUAUAUAUGUUGCUUUAUUUUUCGAGUACUCAUUUAUUCUUGAAUUUGCAUUCGCAAUCUGUCAAAGUAAAUUCUAUUUGAUAUGAUAUACGUUUCUUUGAUGAUUAUGUGAAUAUCUGUUAUGCCUUGAUAUGGGACUUGUCAGUACUCCAUGCUAACGGAGAAUAGUUAGCCUGUGUGCACAUAGUAUUCUGUUACCUAGCUGGUGAGAGAGGCAUCAGCCUGUGGCAUUGAUCAUCCCAUAGUGGUCACCGACGGGUGUCAUCUGGUCACCGACGGGUGUCAUCUGGUCACCUUCGGGUGUCAUCUGAUCUCUGACAUGUAAUCCACUACGUUAUGAUAAUAUGUUACGUUAUGAUAAUAUGUUUAGUAAGUAUAUGUAUACGUAUAUGUAUAUUAAGAUAAAUCAUCUUACAAAUUAUAAUAUCUGAAAUAUCUGAAAUGUAUAUUAAAUGUUAUUCCCCUCACUGAGUUGGUUGAACUCACCCUCAUUUUUAAUAUUAUUUCAGGUUCUUAUUCUUAGUUUCUGAUAGCAGUUGGACUUUGUUGAGUGUUUCCGCUUCUUCAGUUCUGGUCGGUAUGCCUUGCUUGUUCGCGAGGUUUUCCUUUCAGUUUUGAUUUGAUGUCUUAGACGCUCCACUAUUACCUUAUUUUAAUUACGUUUGGAUUUUGACAAUGUAAAUGUAUUAUGAAUUAUUAUUUUUGUUUUAAUAACUAUCUUUCGGUUUUAUCAGUAUUUGAAUAAUAUAAUAUUUCUGAAUAUUAUGAGCCGCUGCGUAUUUUGGAACAAAUUGUUCUUUUGAUAUGUCUGUUCUGAGGCUUAGCGUAGGUGAGGUGUCCUUUCGACACCGCUCCUGCGUUGCCGGUCACGGAUCCGGGAUUCGGGUCGUGACAAUAUCCUCAAACAACAUUUCAGCAAUAAAAACAGGUUAUUUCAGAUUUUUCACAAUUUCUUGUGUUAUCAAAAUCUUAGCACAGACUCGAAGUCAAAGUAAAUAUUAUGGAAUCUUGAUUAUCAAAGCAGAAACGAGCAACAAAGAUAAGUAACGUUACCUUGUCAGUUUCUUUUUGUAGUAUUAAAACCUGUAGGGAAGUUUUGAUCUGCAGCAAUUGCACAAAAGGAAGAUAAGAGUACUCAAAAUGCCCUCUCUAUCGAUAUGAAUGUAACAAAAUGCGAAUCAUUUUUUUUUUUUCCUGUCAGUACUAUAUGAUCUACUAUGCUUCUGCAAAUGUUAUAGAACUCACACUUCGCGUCCCUAAUUUACGAUAAGGUUGUACAACAGGAAGUCCUAGGGGAGUUGUCCACCGCACUGGCUCAUUUUCAGAUGCGAUAAUCUGGUCAGGUAAAAUGCAAAGAGAAAAUGUAAACAGAAUGUCAGUUGUUGGUAUAGAAACUAGAUAAAAAAAUAACCAAAAAAGGAAAAUCAACAUAAAGGAAAAACAAAUAAAUUGAGACAGACUCACCUUUGCACAAUCCCCAAGCCAGUUCAUGAUACUUCGUGCAGCUUCAAACAUCUCUCCUAAGGCAGUUAAGGUCACCUGAUCAAGCAACAAUAUAAAAUAUUGUCAGUGACAUGUUCUAUGAAAAAGAGUAAAGCUAAGGAAUUAUGAAUCAUCACUGUUGGGACGCUCCCUUCACACCUUUGCAGCAUAGCAAGAACAACCAAAGAUAUCUGACUCCUCUGUGAUACCACGCUCCUUUAACCUCCUUUUGAUCUGGUCUCUAGCACCAAUGUAAGUUACACCAUAUACAGAUGUCAUCACUGUCUGUUUCACCAAUUUCCUAUCCACCUAGAUGGAGUCAAACCACCAUUAGUUUGAAAGUAAAAGAACUUAUUCACAUUGAAAAAUGGCAAGGUACACCCUAUCUUUUGAAUGGGCCAAAAAAAAAAGGAAAAGCAUGAAACAGUGUUGACCCAAUAGUAACUAAGCAAUCCCUUAGUGACAGGAGACCACUAUGAUCAACAAUCAAAGCAUGCAAAAAACCUGGUUUAUUAAUUCUUUUGCACGCAAUGCAUCAGGAAAAACAUCUGGAUCUUUCUGUGCAUCCCUCCGCAUGAUAUCAAGUACUCUGCUUCGCAAAAGUGCAUGUUUAUCAUAGCAUCCUUUUGCAGAUAUCUGCUUGCUUCACAUCUAGAAAUGCACUACAGAAAUAUAGGAUUGAAAAAGAAAAAUUCUUGUAGAGGCUUUACAAAUUUGGCUCCAAUCAAACAUAUCCAAUGAAUACUACAGGACUUUGACUACUGCACAUGAAGGGCUAACAUAUUUAUCUGGUCAAAGGCCAUGAAAUAAGAGCAUUGCUGACUAAAGUUUUGCUUUGAUUGAAUUGAAACAAAUUAAAGUUCCUAAUUUAAGCAGAAAUAUGAAGCUUCAAUUGGAUGUUACUACUUCAUUACAAAUACCUGGAUUUCCUUGAAAGCCAGAAAACUCGGCCAGUGAAAUACAUUCUUCUUUUAGUUUUGUGAGAGUAGGGCUUCCAAACUCUUAGUCUUUGGGAUGAUAAUGUUAAUUGCAGAUUUCUAUUCGAUCCAAUACAUGCUGGUAGGUAUGCUUCAGAAAAACUCGGACCCAAUUAGGAAGCAUUUUUGGUUUAUAUCCCUAGGAUCAUAUUUGCGGGUCAUCCUAUUAAGAGUUGGUUAUAAAUCUAAAAAUUCAGAUUCUGUCCUCAUGUAAUUAAAUGGAACUUCAGAUUUAAAGAAGAGUAUCCCUUUAUUAAGCCCUCUAACCAAGAGUUUCCACAAUUUUCAGCACAAGUUCUUUAGUUCCUCAAAAAAUCUCUGCGUUUUCAAAUCUUCGACCUAAUCUUUAAAUCAGUCUGAGUAAAAACAACCAGCUCCAUUGGUUUGCUUCAACAAAAGCUCAUCUUAGCUCAAAUCUUUUCUACUGUAUCAUGAGGAAACCCCUUACCUAGCAGCUAUUCCCGAGUAGACAUCUGCAGGCUUCUCUCCUGCAACUAGAUUAACAGCAGCUGCUCCCAACUGUUCAAGAUUCCAAUGAUUUAACAAAAGCAGAGGGAUUCAAAAUAUAAUCAAAUGCAUUACUUUCCUAUUCAAAAAUAAAAACGAAGUUCAAAAAAUAAAAGUUUGCAGACCACUUCUAAAAAACACGACUUGAAUUCAACAAUGAUUGGCAUCAGCACAGUGCCUUAGGAAACGAAAAUCAGACAAAAAGAUGGUUUUGUUUAUCAGCAGUAAUCAUAAAGAAAAGAAAAACUUCAUAACAUCAUCCAAUUCAAGUUAAGGACGUUACCUUGUCUCUUCCAAGUGCAGCGUAGUGUUGUAGGCCAUUGCAGGAACCAUCCUACAAAAAACCAUAAGAGGGAAGGUGUACAUCAGAAGGCAGAACAGGUUAUGAGAAAAAUUAUAGGCCAGAAGAACAAAGAUAAGCCCAGGGAAGAGUACUUAAGUUGAUUGUCCCACAUAGUCCAACAGUUUUUUAUGUAAUAGAACCAAUAGAAACCACUUAAGCUUAUCAUUUUAUUUGUUUUCCUAAAGCAUACAAGGUACAAUAACAAAGAAUUUUGACUCUCCUUUUACCAUUCAUCUUCCUAACACCUCUGCCUCUCUCAAUCCAUUCCCUAACAUUCCAGUAAAAUUGUGCUCAAUUGGGUAGGAUGCUUUACAAUCCUUAAAAAAUGUCCAUAAAAAGUUUAUAUGAGCACAAUGCAAUACAUUGAUAAGAUAUACCUGAUGAACAGGAAUAUGUGAAAUAUAUGUUUCUGGCGAGGAGCUUCUCAAAGCUUCAGUCAGGUUAAUGCACACAGCCAAGAACUGAAAUGGAUCUUCUGCAUGCAACCACCAACGCUUUCCGUCAAGUGGUUUGUCUGCAGAAUCAAAUAUAUCAUCAAGGUGAUUCUCAGUAAAAGCUAUCCGUCCCUCAUAAGAUAGCUUGUCUACACCACCAGCAAAUAGAUUUGCAAUGUGUAUCUUCAGCCAGCGUAAGCCUGACUUUCCAAGAGGGCAUCCCUCUGCGAACUCCAAAAUCCCCCGGCACAGAUCUGAUCCAAGAUGGUUUAAGUAUGGGUGCAUGGGGUAGGCACGCCCACGAAAGUCAAUAUUGUGUGGAUAAUAGAAACCUUCUUCAUCUUUCAUCUUCCGUGCUACCUGGAGCCAAUUAAGAAUGAUGGCAUGAACGCCAUCAAGAAGAUUGAAAGUGUACUGUCUAAAAUAAAGUAAAAUGAGUCUUACAGCAAGUUUAAGUUCUAUGUCACAACGCUGUGCAUGUCUUUCCCUGUUCUCUUUUUUCACUCCUCUGAGUUUCCACUUCCACUUCUUAAGUAGUGCUUCAUCUUCUGUUUCUGGCUUCUCAGGCAAAGGAACCUGAAAUAAAGAAAUUAAAUGAGAAAGGUUUUUUAGUUGCUAUAGACAUCAUGAUCAAUUCUUGGAAUACAAAGGUAAAGGUAAAGGAGUUUAUCAGAAAAAAAAAAGUUACAUUGAGGAAAGUUAGAAAAGAUACUCACAUCACUGUGGUCUACCAAAUCAGCAAGAUGACCUCCAUUACUCCAUAUUCUAUCAACAACACUAAGUACCCUCUUAUUUACCCUCCAUCUGGUAUUCCCUAGUGUAUCCAGGGCCUGGAAAAUUAAUUCAAACAAAAGAGAAUCCUUGUUAAACCAGAAGCUAAGCUGGUAAAAUCUACACAUGUGAUAGCAUGUGAAGGUAUACACAAUUAUCAGUAUAAGAUUGUGUUCAAAGAACAUCACAUGUUAGUACCAAAAGAUGAUUUAGUUCAAACAAUAAAAUACGCAUCAGUAACCAUGCAAUGCAUCUAAUGUGUACAGACCUCAAAAACUGGUCGUAGCUGCUUCCUAGGUGCCCUCUUAACUGCUUCACGUUGCUGUUUAGCACCAUGUAUCCGCAUGACAUAGGAUGGUAAGAACAAGUGAGCUCCUUUAUCAUAACUGCAAAGGGCAUUGAGGUUAUGCUCGACAUGAGUAAGAGAGAGGUAAAUAUCACAAGCUAUGACACAAUUAUCUAAGAAGAGCUUAGAACACACCAAAAAGCUACUUAAAUGUCAGGUCCUGAUUUGUUACUAGAAGCAAUAGUGGUGUUAAGAGUUGCUACAACUACAUGGGAACCAGAAUCCAACCACAAACUCAUUAAAUGCCAGAUUAAAGUAGCGUAUGUAAGGAACAUGUAUGAAGAAUUUGUAUCUUCCAAAUUUGUAUACAAGGAUCUAAAAUUAAUUUUAGUGGGGACUAUGCUAAUGUGCCUCCUGCAACUUGCAUGAUGAUUGAGUGAAAUAGCCAAGACCCACUAUAAACUUGCUGGUAAACAAAGUGCUCUUUCCCCAAAACCAAUUCAUGAAAUGGUUUUCGUCUGAUGCUCCAUCUGAUCAAAUUAAGAUAUUCAGAGUGCAAUCACUGGUUUAAAUCUUUUCUUUUUGUAGAUAGAAAGUGUGUCCAAGAAUCUCAGUCCUAAUGGGCAAUUUACAACCAAAAGCGCUAGGGAGCUUAUCAGAUUUAAAGGCAAUAGGUUGAAUGGCAGAAGCUGCCAUAGAGGCCUCUUCAUAUUCCAAAGCAUGUGUAGUUUUUCCAAUGAGGAUUGUGAUCACCUAUUCAAGAAAAACUUAACCAAAGUCCAUGAAAAACAUAUCCUAACUAACUUGCCAAACAAUAAGGUUCAAAAAUCUCAGUUUGACAGCAGAGAUCUGUCUGUGCCCAUUUCUCCCAUGUAAUCAUCUGUUGUCUCCUUGCGCUUCUGGUACAUUUGAAAUUUGAAAUAAAUACCUAUAUAUGAAUCAUCACCUAAAGAAACUAAACUACUACAAUCAAGUUCUCUAUGUACUAUCCUAAUCCUAAAUUAACUACAUGUCUGACUUCACAUGAAAACAACAAUUCGAUACUCUUAUCUUUUCUUGAGCUUAAACCACAGCAUCCUUGUAGAAAACCUAACACCUUUUCUUUCUCUAUAUUUUAUCUCUAACUGCCAGCCAUUCUUUUCCAUGAAGUAUACCUCUCCCUUUAACAUCAAAAACAUUAUAAUAAAGAAUUCCAUAGCAAUCCCUAAAUUCUCCUGCCUGUGGCAAUAAUGUUCAUUUUCCGGUAUUAGACAUGGCUGUGAUUAGCAAAUGCUCUUCAAUGUUUAAAGACAGUGUUCUCUGUUUUGUUGAGAAUCCUAGACAAAACCUUCCAUCUCAUAUCUCACAUUCACCAUGUUUUGAAUAAACACCUGCAAGACAAUUAGUUUCCCUUCCAAUGGAGGUUACAGAAAUGGAGAGGCAGAGCCUUGAAACAUGCUGAAAUGUUAAUUUCAAUUAACUGAAAUUGGGAUAGGAAUUCCAGUCUUUAUAAUCAGAGAUUCACCCCUUCAUCUAUUAUACCAUUUUAAGCAUUUAACGUGACAUGAAAAUUGAAAACAGCUCCAGGCAUCAAGCAGAAGUAACCAAAACACUAUGUUAAUAUUUCUGAACUUGGAAUAUAUCCAACUAGAAAAUAUAAAAUUAAAACAAGACAAUCGUGGAAAAACUGUAAAUAUAAAACAAGCUAACAUACCCUCUCCAUCUAAGUGGUGGCACCAACAUUGGCAUAUAAGGAAUCACCAUGUGCCUAGCCUGUUUGGAGAAACAACAUUUUUAUGACUUCUUAUGCAAGAAAAAAGAAUGAAAGACAAACAUCUGCAACUUAAGAGGCACCGUGGAAAUUGCCUACAAAUCUUAUCUGUUUCAGCUCUAAAAUCUAGAAACUAAUCUAUCUGCUUUGAAAGUAUAUGGCACCCUGACACAAGUUCAUGUCAUAAAGGAUGAUAAAAUAUGAAAACUAGAUAUCACUAGAAGAACAAAAUAUGACAGGGUUACUCACAGUUUUCUCUAGGCCUUUGAGGACUAGUGGGUCACAUUGUAUAACACCAUAUUUUUUCGCGCACUUCCUGUUUAAGAAAAGGCCAUUGUGCAUCAGUUAGGAGCAAUUACAAGGAAGAAAAGAUAAAUUGAGCUCAUCGAGUCAAUUAAAGAAUGACUCCAUACUUAUUUUCAUAUGACACGGUUCUGAAUGUAUGCACAAAUGCAGGUCGAGGUUCAGAUGGACUAUCAGCUAACUGAUCACAGGGAGGCUGUAUAUAAGCUGUUUGUAACAGCAAUUCAAUUAGACGGCUUCCAACCUGCAAAGCGCAAGUACAGAAAUCAAAUUCGUACACAAUACAUUUGUUCAAGAAAAUUAGCCUUUAUCAAUGAUUACAAGCACACAAACCUUAGCCCUAGCAUCUGCAUUCCAUGGUUUUGAAUCAUCCUUCCCCUUCACAAUCUUCCUCACAGCUGGCAGCUUUUGUUUUUUAAUCAAAUCAGUAACCUUUUUUCUUAGGUUUUCUUGUUCCUUCAUGACAGCAGGGGAUUCACCUUCUACACCAUUCUUGCUAUCAUUAGUAUUUUCCUUUUUCUUCCUUGUUUUCUCCA
rnacentral:lncRNA from 1 species